AGCCAUGCAUGUCUAAGUACAAACUUUUACACGGUGAAACCGCGAAUGGCUCAUUAAAUCAGUUAUGGUUUAUUAGAUGGUGCUAUCCUACUUGGAUAACUGUGGUAAUUCUAGAGCUAAUACAUGCUACAAAGCUCCGACCCUCGUUGGAAAGAGCGCUUUUAUUAGAUCAAGACCAACCGGUUUCGCCUUCGGGUGUUACCGUCGGAUUGAUGACUCUGGAUAACCUUUGCCGAUCGUAUGGCCCCGCGCCGACGACGCAUCUUUCAAAUGUCUGCCCUAUCAACUUUCGUUGGUAGGUGAUUUGCCUACCAAGGUGUUUACGGGUAACGGGGGAUCAGGGUUCGAUCCCGGAGAGGGAGCAUGAGAAACGGCUACCACAUCCAAGGAAGGCAGCAGGCGCGCAAAUUACCCACUCUUGGCACGAGGAGGUAGUGACGAAAAAUAACAAUACGGGACUCUUUCGAGGCCCCGUAAUUGGAAUGAGUACACUCUAAACCCGUUAACGAGGAUCUAUUGGAGGGCAAGUCUGGUGCCAGCAGCCGCGGUAAUUCCAGCUCCAAUAGCGUAUAUUAAAGCUGUUGCAGUUAAAAAGCUCGUAGUCGGAUUUCGGGCGGCGGCCAAUGGUUCGGUUCCGUGCCGAUACUGCUGGUCGCGGCCUCCACGCCGGUCGUCUUUCGGUGCUCUUAGUUGAGUGCCUUAAGUAGCCGGAGCGUUUACUUUGAAAAAAUUAGAGUGUUCAAGGCAGGCCAAAAGCCUGAAUGAUGGUGCAUGGAAUAAUGGAAUAGGACCUCGGUUCUAUUUUGUUGGUCUUCGGAACUGGAGGUAAUGAUUAAUAGGGACGGACGGGGGCAUUCGUAUUGCGGCGUUAGAGGUGAAAUUCUUGGAUCGUCGCAAGACGGACUACUGCGAAAGCAUUUGCCAAGAAUGUUUUCAUUGAUCAAGAGCGAAAGUCAGAGGAUCGAAGACGAUCAGAUACCGUCCUAGUUCUGACCAUAAACGAUGCCGACUAGCGAUCCGGCUCCGUUGCUUCAUAAGACUGGCCGGGCAGCUCCCGGGAAACCAAAGUCUAUGGGUUCCGGGGGAAGUAUGGUUGCAAAGCUGAAACUUAAAGGAAUUGACGGAAGGGCACCACCAGGAGUGGAGCCUGCGGCUUAAUUUGACUCAACACGGGAAAACUCACCCGGCCCGGACACCGUAAGGAUUGACAGAUUGAAAGCUCUUUCUUGAUUCGGUGGGUGGUGGUGCAUGGCCGUUCUUAGUUGGUGGAGCGAUUUGUCUGGUUAAUUCCGAUAACGAA
rnacentral:rRNA from 1 species